UACGUAGGGUGCAAGCGUUAAUCGGAAUUACUGGGCGUAAAGCGUGCGUAGGCGGUUUGAUAAGUCGGGUGUGAAAGCCCCGGGCUUAACCUGGGAAUUGCAUUCGAUACUGUCUGACUCGAGUCUGGGAGAGGGUAGCGGAAUUCCGGGUGUAGCGGUGAAAUGCGUAGAUAUCCGGAGGAACAUCAGUGGCGAAGGCGGCUUCCUGGCCUAAGACUGACGCUGAGGUACGAAAGCGUGGGGAGCAAACAGG
rnacentral:rRNA from 1 species